UUGAUUGAUUUAUCGUUUGUCUCAGACUGCAGGUAAUCAGAGUUUGCCUCUCGGCGGGCGGCCGCCUGGUCCAGCUGCACGUCACGGCGCGGCGUCGAAAGCAACAUCACCAAGACAUCGCAUCGAAACACCACAUCCGCGACCCGCCGCACAGAACACAGUCAACGCCCACCAAGGCAACAGGUCCAUAAUCAAGGGGUGGAGACGUGCUGUGUGCACACUCGGUAAUGAUCCUUCCGCAGGUUCACCUACGGAAA
rnacentral:misc_RNA from 1 species